rnacentral:misc_RNA from 1 species
AAGUCGUAACAAGGUUUCCGUAGGUGAACCUUCGGAAGGAUCAUUAUCGAAAUGCAGCGUUGGCGGACGGCUGCAAGGCCGCCCGCCACGCGAACAUGCAUUCAACCACCCUUGACUUUGAGCACCGUUUGUUUCCUCGGCAGGGACGCCUGCCAGCGGGGACCCCAUCGAACACUUGCAGUAGCAGUAUUUGUCUGAGAAAAAACACAAAAAUCAAAACUUUCAACAAUGGAUCUCUUGGUUCUG